GCGAGCAGACAAAGGCCGCGCCGAAACCCGCUCCCGACGCGGUGCGCGCAAGUGGCGGCGGAGGGAGAGACAACAUCUCCCCGCCAUGAAUUAUUCAUUGCGGCCGGGAAAGCUGCUCUCCCUGGGGCUUCAUUAACGUGUUACCUUCUGCCGAAGGGCAGCGGGUGGCACCGGGCUCGCCCCUGCCCCGCCGGCGGUGGAGAGCCCCGGGGAGCCCCGCCCGGCGGCUGGGGGUGCGCAGGGGCUGCAACCGAGCCGCCACGGCUGCAGCUGAGCCCUCGAUCAUCGCUCUCCAUAAGCUGCUCCCCCCGGCAAACCUAACCCAACCAAACCUCCGCGCACAUCCCUGCUGACAACCAGGGUCACGCUGCGCCGGGAGCAGCCAUGGGAGGCUGGUGCCUGGGGAGCCGGACUCCACCAGACUCAUCGAGGGCGCAACACAUUCCCGACCCCGCCGGGGCAGCUUUGUUCCCCCCAGCCGCGGCCCUUCCAGUGUCUCCGCUCCAGUAGUACCAACGCCCACCGCGGAAAAGAACAAGCAGAGAGCCUUACCCGACCCGCUUGGCCAUCAGGGAGUGCAGAUAUUUCCUGGCGGAUAACUGGCCCAGGAGUUUCCUGUAGGCUUUGUUGAAGAUCCCAUCGGCGUGCCUGGGCAGAGGGAAGAGCCCGCGGGUGAGCGGCGAGGCCCGGGAGCCGGCUGCGGCAGGUUGCGGGAGCCCGGGCGGUAGCGGUGACCAUUCCCCUCCGCCGGCGAGCGGAGGGCGGCAUCUCCCCGCGUCCCCCGGGACCCCUCGUCCCCACCCAGAUCCCUCCCCGCCGCGCCCGCUCGGUUCCGCGCCGGCUGGGCAUUUCUGCUCCGUUUGCGGGAGCAUCGCUAGCCCUCCCCGGCGCGGGCGGCUCCCCGCUCCCUCCCCCGCGCUGCUGGAGGUAAGGAAGCUUUUCCAUUUCUUCUGAGCUUUACGCUGGGCACCGGGACCUGGGCAGUAUUGUCGUUUGUUUGGGCUCGGGAUUUUUAUUUUGAUGUUGUUGCUCUUUGCUUGUUAGGUAUCAUUAUUAUUUUUCCCCCAAUCGGUUCUGCCAGACCCGUUUUUCUCCCUACUCCAAAUUCACGCCUGAUACCCCGCGAGUUGCAGUCACCUCUUUUCCGGUGGGUAAUACAAGGUGUACAUCUCGCCGAUCAUGGAGGACGGAUUCGCUAUACCGAGGGGCUCGUGGUCGUACGCGAAGUCCUGCAGGGUGUUCCCGUCCUCGUCGUAGACCUCAUCCUCCAGCCUGGCAACGAGAGCAGCAAGGAGAAGGAGUCAGCCGGGCUCCGUGGGGCGCUCCGCUCCACUCCCCGCUGCCGGCUUCCGGCUGCCUCAGUGGCCACCCCUCGGCGGAGCCGACCCGGGAGACCCGGGAGCCCCGUCCGACUGCCCCCAUCCCCUCCCUACACCCGCCCGCUCCCCAUCCCCGCCCUCUCCUCUGCGGGGCAGGACCGCGGAGGAGGGAACACACCCUCCGUCAGACGUGCUCCAAGAAACCCCCCAAACAUGCCCCCCCCUCCUCCCCCCGCCCUCUGCGACCCACGCCCCGGCCCGAGAAACAUCCCCUCUCUGCCACAGCCAUGGCUGGUGCUUCCCGAGCGGAGCGCACGCCCAGGCGCGCAGGCUGCCGCGCUGACACGCGUUUGUGUGCCAGGGGCUGGGCGGGAGCCGAGCAGCCUCCGCGGCGGAGACGGGGCGGUGAGCGGCAGCCCCGCCGCCGGGGCCGGGGACCGCGCCCCGCUCCUCCCCGCAGCGCCCUCCGGGACGGGGGGGCUUCGCCUGUUGUUUUUCGUUGAACGGUGCCUCUGCCCUUUGAGAUCUCGCCAGUUUUGUGUGUGUCCCAGCCCCCCCAGCCCCCGCUCUCUGCCUCCCUCUCUGCAGUACGAUGUAGGUCAUUGCACGUUACAGGCAGCUAUUUUUGUCUGUGAGCUUUAGCGGAGGUAUUAAUAAUAGAUGCCGCUAAAGUGUUUCACUCCUGCUAAUUCAGGCGCUUGAAUGAAGAAAGCCAGCUUGCUGCCGGCUAAUGGCCCCUCAGGCCACUGAGCCCGCUGCCCCCUAGUCGCACUGCCCAGGAAGAUGACGGGGGCUGCUCCGAGCCAGCUUCGACAGGCUCCCGGUUACUGUAAGGACACCUCGGAGCCCCAAAAAGGACACCCACGUCGGACAACCUUGCGCGCCCGGCAUCUCUCCCCCUCCCCCCACCCAUCUGCGCUCACCGCACGGCAGUGUCCCCCGCAGAGCACCCCGGAACAGAGCCAAGAGCCGGUGGAGCAGGACGACAGCACCGAGUCCAAAACUCCCCCCAAGCCAAGCAACACCGGUCGCCCGAGCAGGCGACAAGCAGAGUGAGAACAGGCUACCAUCGGCCGUCCCGGAACAGGUGCCCUGAGCCCCCAGCCGCAGCCCAGCGUAGGAAACUCCUUUGUGCUGGUGCUCCUGGGUGUCCCCCACUCCUGCCCCAAACACAGCAGGGUUCAAACGCUCACUGUGGGACAGCGCAGGCAUCAGUCUGCGCUGCAGCCCAGCGAGAACACUCCGAACACAGAAAACUAAACAACCUUGUGCCAGGCCCUUCUCUCUUGGGAAGGGCUGUCAUACACAAACAGGUUAACAGGGGAAGAGACUGGAUCCCCACCAGUUCCAAUGCCGCUACACGAACCAUGACAGCUCCCACAUGCUUGCAGACAACGGCGCACCCGUCCCCGCGCCCCGCUCCCCCUGAGCCGGACAGGCAAUGCUCGGCGCUCACCCUGGGCGAGCUGCGGGCAACCGGAGGCUGCCAAGGGCCCCGCAGGACAGGGGGCAGGCGGGGGAGGAGCUUUGGGCCCCGUCGACAUGCAGCCGGGACCUCGGCCCGCUCCCGCCAACACGCAGAAGAGCAGGUCCCCCACUCCCGGGGAAAAGAGGCCGUGGGUCACAGUACCGGGGUACCGAGGAGCGGACCUGGGGGGUGCCAGUGCUGCAGGCGGAGGGGGUCCCAUGCUGCGGUGGAAGGGGUGGGCACAUAGCCCAAGCGGAGGGGAUUUCCUUUGAUGACUCCCCUCCACAUCCCCUUUCAUUUUCCUCCCCAGUAAGAUUCCGCUGCCCUUAGCUAAGCUGGGGCAGCAGGGGGCUGGAGUGGUCCCGGCGGAGCUCCCGGACGGGGGACAGACCUACCUGAGCGCCGGGUACUGAAGUCCGGCCGCAGGUGAGCAGUAGACACUGCAGUGCAUUAUUAUGCCAUAGACCAGGAGUGCUAAGAUCGCUUUGCUACACAUUGCCACUCUGUGCGGGAGGGAAAGGAAACUGCUGUCAAAAAAAAAAAAAAAAAAAAGGAAAAAACCCCCCAAAAACAAACAAACAAAAAUAUUUCACGAACAAAAACCCAAACAAACCGCCCCACGGCUCACCAACCCCCUGCCGGAAAAGGAGGCAGGCAGCGCGGCCCCGGGGGACAAGCGCCCUGGGCAGCCGGGUGCCGGCGCGGAGCGGCACGGAGAGGAGCAGAGCGGUGCCCGGCGCAAAGAGCUGCGGCCGCCGCCCGCCCCGUCGGUGCCCGCCUGCCCGCCCGCCCGCCCGCUCGCCCCGGGACCGCUGCGGGAAGGCCCGGCGAGCCACCUCGUGUCCUUACCAUUAAACUCUAGACACCCGGCACUGAGAGCGUUUGGCUGCGAAACUAAAACGGCAGGUCUUGGGGGAAAAAAAAUAAAGACCCAAAAUAGGGAGGGGGAGAAAUCGAGCUCUCUCCCAAGUUGCGUCCAAAAGGAGUUAAAACCCUCGUGACAUCACCUCUCCGAUGGGCGAAGGACCCGCAGGAUGCAGAAGAUGCAGAAGCGACAGCAGUUAGUUGUUUGCUGGUUUUAGGGCAAUCCACUCCAAAAAGAAAAAGAAAGGAGGGGGGGG